rnacentral:rRNA from 1 species
GAUGAACGCUAGCUACAGGCUUAACACAUGCAAGUCGAGGGGUAACGAGAGGAAAGCUUGCUUUCCUUGUCGACGACCGGCGCACGGGUGAGUAACGCGUAUCCAACCUGCCCCCAACUAGGGAAUAACCUUGCGAAAGUAAGACUAAUACCCUAUAAUUUCCUCAGAUGUCAUCUGACGAGGAAUAAAGAUUUAUCGGUUGUGGAUGGGGAUGCGUCUGAUUAGCUUGUUGGCGGGGUAAAGGCCCACCAAGGCAACGAUCAGUAGGGGUUCUGAAAGGAAGGUCCCCCACAUUGGAACUGAGACACGGUCCAAACUCCUACGGGAGGCAGCAGUGAGGAAUAUUGGUCAAUGGGCGGAAGCCUGAACCAGCCAAGUAGCGUGCAGGAUGACGGCCCUAUGGGUUGUAAACUGCUUUUAUACAGGAAUAAAGUUAGCCACGUGUGGUUAUUUGUAGGUACUGUAUGAAUAAGGACCGGCUAAUACCGUGCCAGCCGCCGCCGUAA